UGAGCUGAGUCUCUAAUAUGGCAUUUCUUGCUUUCAACUUUCUGAUCUCUUCAGUAGAAUUGUUUUGAGCAUUUAUAAGCUGGGAAAUUGUUGAAGUGCUUCAUACCCCUCCCAUUUUGUCGAUACACUCACAUUCUUCUAGAGUAGUUUUAGAGAUAGUCUGCUUCUUGGUCCCCAUCUUAGGCUAUCCUAAAAGUACUUUAAAGAAUUUGAAGACAUGCGUGUAGAGAAAUCCAUAGGGGAGGCCAUGAUUUCCAUCUUUGAGUGCUGCCACCUUUUGCAUAUGAUUAAUUAUUAUGGUUGGUAGAAUAACAGUUUGAACCCAUCCGGUGCUUCCAUUAGAUACAGAUCAGACUUGGAUGUGAUGGACUUCCUCUCAGCGCGAGAAAGCAGGACAUUGUUCACUAACUAAAAAAGGAGCUAAUAAACUGGAAGCAAAGCUUUCUUAUACACCCGUUCCCCCCGCUACAGUGCUCCCUCCUUUAACUAAGCAUGCCUAAAGUUUGAGACACAAGCAUCUCUAACAUAAGACAGACCUUCAGAAGGAACCUUAAGCAUGUCUCCUAGCAGUGUAGAGUCCAUAACAACGUCUACGCCAUUUAUCAAUGCACAGAUACGAUCAGAUUCAAUGGUAAAAAGGUCAGCAUAGAAACUUUGAACCUCUUCC
rnacentral:lncRNA from 1 species